GCCCGAACCCGAUGUUUUUUAGGGCCGGGCCGGACUAGCCCGCGGGCUUUAGCCCUAAUUGACAUGCCUAAAUAUAAGCGAUGUUUAUCGUGUGAAAAAUUAUAUCGCUCAGACACUUUGCAAUCUCGAGAAGAUAUUUCCACCUUCUUUCUUUGAUGUUAUGGAGCAUUUGAUUGUCAACUUACCUACAAAAGCAGAGCUUGGUGGACUGGUGCAGUUUCGAUGGAUGUAUCCUUUCGAACGAUUCAUGUUUCACCUCAAGAAAAAGGCGAAUAACAAAGCAAGUGUUGAAGGUUCAAUUGUGGUGCUAGUGGUUUUUCUCAGCAAUAUACUUACCAGUGUUAUGUGCCAACAUUAUUUAUACAUGUUGGAGGUGGAAGUGGCAAAACAUAUUUUGAGUGGCUAAGUAAUGAUGACAACCACAUCGCUCAUACAUAUAUUUUGCUCAAUUGUGAAGAAUUGCGACACUUUGAAAGUUAUGCAGAUUAUUUGAUAAUGAUGCAAGAGAAAGGAAUGUUGGGCUUACGGAAGAUAUGUUAACGACUAUGAAAGAAAGAGACUAUGAAAACUGGUUAUACAAUUUCCAAACCUUUAACUGGGAUCAAGUACGUGGGGCAGAAGUGUAUCGUUUGUGGUAUCACACUAUUGGUGGCCGCCUGAGAGACAUGAUCUCUAAGGCCAAAGCUUAAGGUAAUAAACCUGAGUGGAUUAGUGAAGAUAUUUGGGAAGUAAUGUUGGAGUAUUGGGGCACAGACGCAGCUAAGAGGAAGAGCAAGACAACAUCAUAGAAUCGGAAGUCUCCUUGUGAUGGUUUUGGCCCACAUGCUCACACUUCUGGUGCCCGGUCUUAUGACCAACUCCGAGAGUUAAUUUCACCUCUCUUCAAGAGCAGGUGGCCAUAGUGGUGGAGUAUAUGAGACAAUAUAUGCCUGAAGGUGGAGCAAACCUGAAGGUGGAGCAAACACUUUCCCGUCGUCUCAUCCAACUCAUGCAACAGGUGCGUCGGUAACCAUACAACCUCCAAGCAACAACGGGGGAGAACCAAGCUGCCAAUAUUUCCAAAGAUGGAACUGAACAUGUGCAAAUGGAUGAUGAGAUCCAAUCCAAUAAUGCCACCAAUGGGCCUCAUGAACAAGAAGACAAUGAUGAUGAGGAGCUUGUAGGUGGUGCCCUCUUCUGAGAUGUAUGAACAUGUUGUAUCAGCUAUCUUUAACCCCUCUUUUUUGGUAAUAGGACUUGAAUGGUUUCUACGUACUUAAACUUAU